rnacentral:misc_RNA from 1 species
GUAUAAGAGACAGGUGAGUCAUCGAAUCUUUGAACGCACAUUGCGCCCCUUGGUAUUCCAUGGGGCAUGCCUGUUCGAGCGUCAUUUGUACCCUCCAGCCUUGCUGGGUGCUGGGUGUUUGUUCCGCUGUGCGCGUGAACUCGCCUUAAAUACAUUGGCAGCCAGCCGUCCCGCGUGGGAGUGCAGCACAUUUUGCGCUCUCCGCUGUGUACGGCGGCGUCCAUAAGCCUAUACUUUUACGCUUGACCUCGGAUCAGGUAGGGAUACCCGCUGAACUUAAGCAUAUCAAUAAGCGGAGGA